GGAUGUGAGGGCAAUCUGGCUGUGACAUCUACCACCCCAUUGAUCACCAGGGUUGGUUCGGCUGAUCUGGCUGGCUAGGCAGGUGUCCCCUUCCGCAAUGAUCCACACGCAUCCCUUCCAAAGCUGUGUGCUCAGUUGAAGGGGACGGCCACCCCCGAUAGAGGAAGACUGUUCCUUGGCCUAGGGUAUACCGCACUCUCCUGCUAGAACCUCCAAAGAAGCUCUCAAGGUCCAUUGUGGUCAGUGGAUUGAUCUGCUGAGGAAUUUAGUAGCAGAAUGUGUUC
rnacentral:snRNA from 1 species